CUGCUGUGAGUGAGAGAGGAGAGAGAUUUAAGCUCUCCCAGGAGUUUAUCAAAGGUUUUUCUGUUCAGGUACUGAACUGUUACAAAGGACUCUCUUAUAGGUGUUUCUUUCUCUCUACUUUUUUUUUUUAAGUUUUUUAAUAACACUGAGCCUGAAUUUCCUUUCCCUGCAUGGCCAAGAGCAAGCGGGCAGCGUGGGGUGUGUAAUGAGUGACACCUUACAUGUCAUCUGUGCCCUCCCGCAGGGGGGACAGGCUCUCCCACAGGAAGGGAGCUGUCAGGAAGCUCCGGGGACCAGAGGGGCCCAGGCUGGCGGUGCACGUAAAGCCAACCAUGAAACUCUGCGCUUCCAUGGUGCAACCUGGCCCUUCCUGCACCCAGACGCUGCUGCCUCUAGGCCCUCGUCCCGGCACACGAAGCAACUCCAGGCCAGGGGACCGCGUCCCCGUCCCUGUCUCCACCUGCGCCUGCCCGCAUUCUCCUCUACCGACCCUGGCGAGGCAUGGCUGAGGGGGACAGCUCAGGGGAGACGGUAGGGACACACGCUGGAGGAUUCUGCCCAUUAUGACAAGCCAGCCGAGAGGAGGUCAGCGGAGUUCACCACCAAGCCAGAUGGGAGGGGACAGGCACAAUCUGUUCCGCUCAGCAAACAUCUGGAAACAGAACACGGCCCAUCUGCCGCUCCAAAAGCCCACCCCCAGGCAGGACUUCUAAUGGCUCCUUUCACGGGCUGUUUCCGCACGCACUCACUGAGGCCAGCUCGAGUCGUGACUCCGGAUGGUCCUGCUUCGCAACUGCCACAGAGAAAAAGAAGGAAAGCGCUUCCCAGUCCAUCUCUUGACAUCAGUGCAGCCCUGGUACCAGCAUCUGGCAAACACCUGCGGCACGCACACCCACGCCAGACCAGUGCCGCGACAGAUGCACGCAUUCUCAAUAGCACACUAGCAAAAGCAUAUCGCACAACAGUGACUUGGGAAUUAUUUUUAUAUAUGUAUGUUUGUAUAUUUUAUUUUUCUACAGAAGGCAUGCAUGCUCCUCCUAAAGGGUCAAUUACUGCUGAAAUGCCUAAAGUAAAAUGCAUAGUCUUUGCCUCCCAUCCUCUAAUAGUGGUAUUGCACCUCCUUGAUGUCAUUACAGUUAAUAAUUUUUGUAUCUCUUUUCA